CCUAUAUCUGUUGAAAAAGGUUAGGAUGAGGUGUGGGUAGGGGUGAAAUUCCAAUCGAACGUGGAGAUAGCUGGUUCUCCCCGAAAUAGCUUUAGGGCUAGCCUCAAGUGGUGAUUACAGGCGGUAGAGCACUGAUCAGGAGCGGGACCUACCCGGUUACCAAACCCAGUCAAACUCCGAAUGGCUGUAAUCAAACUUGGGAGUCAGACUACGACUUAUAAGGGCCGUGGUCAAGAGGGAAACAGCCCAGAUCAUCAGCUAAGGUCCCAAAUGCCGUGCUAAGUGGCGAAGGAUGUGGCGUUUCAUAAACAACCAGGAUGUUGGCUUAGAAGCAGCCAUCAUUUAAAGAGUGCGUAAUAGCCCACUGGUCGAGAGACGCUGCGCCGAAGAUGUCCGGGGCUCAAGCACGGAACCGAAGCUAUGGCAGACGCAAGCCGUCUGGGUAGGGGAGCGUUCUUAUUGGGGAGAAGCGAUACCGGAAGGAGUCGUGGACUGAUAAGAAGUGAGAAUGCUGGUAUGAGUAUCGAAA
rnacentral:rRNA from 1 species